rnacentral:rRNA from 1 species
GAUGAACGCUAGCGGCAGGCUUAACACAUGCAAGUCGAGGGGUAGAGGUUGCUUGCAACCUUGAGACCGGCGCACGGGUGCGUAACGCGUAUGCAACCUACCUUUUACAGAGGGAUAGCCCAGAGAAAUUUGGAUUAAUACCUCAUAGUAUAUAACCUUCGCAUGUUGGUUAUAUUAAAGUUCCAACGGUAAAAGAUGGGCAUGCGUCCUAUUAGCUAGAUGGUAAGGUAACGGCUUACCAUGGCUACGAUAGGUAGGGGUCCUGAGAGGGAGAUCCACCACACUGGUACUGAGACACGGACCAGACUCCUACUGGAGGCAGCAGUGAGGAAUAUUGGACAAUGGGCGCAAGCCUGAUCCAGCCAUGCCGCGUGCAGGAAGACGGUCCUAUGGAUUGUAAACUGCUUUUGUACGGGAAGAAACACUCCUACGUGUAGGAGCUUGACGGUACCGUAAGAAUAAGGAUCGGCUAACUCCGUGCCAGCCGCCGCCGUAACAC